rnacentral:rRNA from 1 species
GACGAACGCUGGCGGCGUGCUUAACACAUGCAAGUCGAACGGAAAGGCCCUGCUUUUGUGGGGUGCUCGAGUGGCGAACGGGUGCGUAACACGUGAGUAACCUGCCCUUGACUUUGGGAUAACUUCAGGAAACUGGGGCUAAUACCGGAUAGGAGCUCCUGCUGCAUGGUGGGGGUUGGAAAGUUUCGGCGGUUGGGGAUGGACUCGCGGCUUAUCAGCUUGUUGGUGGGGUAGUGGCUUACCAAGGCUUUGACGGGUAGCCGGCCUGAGAGGGUGACCGGCCACAUGGGGACUGAGAUACGGCGCAGACUCCUACGUGAGGCAGCAGUGGGGAAUAUUGCACAAUGGGAGGAAGCCUGAUGCAGCAACGCCGCGUGCGGGAUGACGGCCUUCGGGUUGUAAACCGCUUUCGCCUGUGACGAAGCGUGAGUGACGGUAAUGGGUAAAGAAGCACCGGCUAACUACGUG